CGGGGUGAGUAACGCGUGGGUAACCUGCCUUGUACAGGGGGAUAACAGUUGGAAACGGCUGCUAAUACCGCAUAAGCGCACGGCAUCGCAUGAUGCAGUGUGAAAAACUCCGGUGGUAUAAGAUGGACUCGCGUUGGAUUAGCUAGUUGGUGAGGUAACGGCCCACCAAGGCGACGAUCCAUAGCCGACCUGAGAGGGUGACCGGCCACAUUGGGACUGAGACACGGCCCAA
rnacentral:rRNA from 1 species